UACGAAAGGUGCAAGCGUUACUCGGAAUCACUGGGCGUAAAGCGCACGUAGGCGGACUCGUAGGUCAAUUGUGAAAUACCUGGGCUCAACCCGGGAACUGCAGUUGAAACCGCUUGUCUUGAAUACCUGAGAGGGUGGGGGAAUACCUGGUGGAGAAGUGAAAUUCGUAGAGAUCAGGUGGAACACCGGAGGCGAAGGCGGCUGCCCGGAAGUGUAUUGACGCUGAGGUGCGAAAGUGCGGGGAGCAAACAGG
rnacentral:rRNA from 1 species